GCAACCAUGACGGAUGUCCUAACAAAAGUUUAGUGGUUUAUCCCUGGGAUUCUUCUACCAAAAAUAGAAGGUUGCAGAGACAAAUUAGUUUUAAUUUCACCAUGUUCUCCUGAACUCUCGACAUUCAGAUUUAGAGUUUCAAGACGGCAGAUCAUUAUGGACAUUGAUUCAGUUUUGAUUACUGAAAUGCUGCAAUGGACACCCAGAAUCACCAUUCCACUAAGUCGAGCUGAUGUUAACAUCAGGAAAGGGAUUUAAAAGAUGUGAAUAGAAGUCAAAACCAUCAUCGAAGGAUCAAUCUCCGGGUGAUCUGUUACAUGCCCAAUGCACCCACUGCCACCACUGCUGUAAGGCGACAUGCCCAAGUGCACCC
rnacentral:lncRNA from 1 species